AGAGUUUGAUCCUGGCUCAGGACGAACGCUGGCGGCGUGCCUAAUACAUGCAAGUAGAACGCUGAAGAGAGGAGCUUGCUCUUCUUGGAUGAGUUGCGAACGGGUGAGUAACGCGUAGGUAACCUGCCUGGUAGCGGGGGAUAACUAUUGGAAACGAUAGCUAAUACCGCAUGACAUUGAUUAUCGCAUGAUAAUUGAUUGAAAGAUGCAAUUGCAUCACUACCAGAUGGACCUGCGUUGUAUUAGCUAGUUGGUGAGGUAACGGCUCACCAAGGCGACGAUACAUAGCCGACCUGAGAGGGUGAUCGGCCACACUGGGACUGAGACACGGCCCAGACUCCUACGGGAGGCAGCAGUAGGGAAUCUUCGGCAAUGGGGGGAACCCUGACCGAGCAACGCCGCGUGAGUGAAGAAGGUUUUCGGAUCGUAAAGCUCUGUUGUAAGAGAAGAACGGGUGUGAGAGUGGAAAGUUCACACUGUGACGGUAUCUUACCAGAAAGGGACGGCUAACUACGUGCCAGCAGCCGCGGUAAUACGUAGGUCCCGAGCGUUGUCCGGAUUUAUUGGGCGUAAAGCGAGCGCAGGCGGUUAGAUAAGUCUGAAGUUAAAGGCUGUGGCUUAACCAUAGUAUGCUUUGGAAACUGUUUAACUUGAGUGCAGAAGGGGAGAGUGGAAUUCCAUGUGUAGCGGUGAAAUGCGUAGAUAUAUGGAGGAACACCGGUGGCGAAAGCGGCUCUCUGGUCUGUAACUGACGCUGAGGCUCGAAAGCGUGGGGAGCAAACAGGAUUAGAUACCCUGGUAGUCCACGCCGUAAACGAUGAGUGCUAGGUGUUAGGCCCUUUCCGGGGCUUAGUGCCGCAGCUAACGCAUUAAGCACUCCGCCUGGGGAGUACGACCGCAAGGUUGAA
rnacentral:rRNA from 1 species